rnacentral:rRNA from 1 species
AGAGUUUGAUCCUGGCUCAGAACGAACGUUGGCGGCGUGGAUUAGGCAUGCAAGUCGAACGAAUCCCACUGCUGUAGCAAUACAGUGGUGGGGGAAGUGGCGAAAGGGGCAGUAAGGCGUGGGUAACCUACCCCGGGGACCGGGAUAGCCUUUCUAACGAGAGGGUAAUACCGGGCGAUCUGGCUCAGGGGCAUCUCUGGGCCAGGAGAUGAAUUUCGCCUCGGGAGGGGCUCACGUGGUAUUAGCUAGACGGCGGGGUAACGGCCCACCGUGGCAAAGAUGCCUAGCGGGUGUGAGAGCACGACCCGCGCCACUGGCACUGAGACACUGGCCAGACUCCUACGGGAGGCUGCAGUCGAGGAUCUUCGGCAAUGGGCGCAAGCCUGACCGAGCGACGCCGCGUGCGCGAUGAAGGCCUUCGGGUUGUAAAGCGCUGUCGAGGGGGAGGAAAGCCGAAAGGUCUGACCUAUCCCUGGAGGAAGCACGGGCUAAGUUCGUGCCAGCAGCCGCGGUAAGACGAACCGUGCGAACGUUGUUCGGAAUCACUGGGCUUAAAGGGCGCGUAGGCGGACCUCCCAGUCCGGGGUGAAAGCUUUCGGCUUAACCGGAAAAGUGCCUUGGAUACUGGAGGUCUUGAGGGAGGUAGGGGCAGCCGGAACUUCCGGUGGAGCGGUGAAAUGCGUUGGUAUCGGAAGGAACGCCGGUGGCGAAAGCGGGCUGCUGGAUCUCUACUGACGCUGAGGCGCGAAAGCCAGGGGAGCGAACGGGAUUAGAUACCCCGGUAGUCCUGGCCCUAAACGAUGGGUACUGGGUAGGGGACUUGACAUGGGUUCCCUGCCGCAGCAAAAGUGGUAAGUACCCCGCCUGGGGAGUAUGGUCGCAAGGCUGAACUCAAGGAUUGACGGGGCUCACACAAGCGGUGGAGCAUGUGGCUUAAUUCGAGGCUACGCGG